rnacentral:rRNA from 1 species
UGGGGAAUUUUCCGCAAUGGGCGAAAGCCUGACGGAGCGACGCCGCGUGGAGGAAGAAGUUUUUCGGAAUGUAAACUCCUUUUGUCAGGGACGAAACAAAUGACGGUACCUGAAGAAUAAGCAUCGGCUAACUACGUGCCAGCAGCCGCGGUAAUACGUAGGAUGCAAGCGUUGUUCGGAAUUACUGGGCGUAAAGCGUACGUAGGUGGUAUCAUAAGUCUGUUAUUAAAGACCGAAGCUCAACUUCGGGAAUGUAAUGGAAACUAUGAAACUAGAGGUCAAUAGGGGGAGUCGGAAUUCUCAGUGUAGCGGUGAAAUGCGUAGAUAUUGGGAAGAACACCGGAAGCGAAAGCGGACUCCUGGGUUGAAACUGACGCUGAGGUACGAAGGCGUGGGGAGC